GGGCUUUACUGAGUUUAACUUGUUGGUUCUUCUCUCAGUUGCCCUGGCCUGGACACAGGGAGGCUGCUGCAAACUUCAGAUGUCACACUGCAAAUUCCAGUGUCUGAAAAGUGUUCCUUCUUGCUACUACAAGACACAGGGUUGGGGAGAAGAAGAAUUCAGAUUGAGAGACCUGAUCAUCCUUCCAUCUACCAGAAGAACUUAAGAAACAGAAUCAAUCAUUCAUAGUCCUCAAAUAACCAAAAAUUGACUUGAGGUUCCACUAACAAGAGCUCUUUAGGAUGAAGUUUGUAAAUCAAG
rnacentral:lncRNA from 1 species